UAUGUAGGGUGCAAGCGUUGUCCGGAAUUAUUGGGCGUAAAGAGCUCGUAGGUGGUCUGUCGCGUCGGCUGUGAAAUCCCGAGGCUCAACCUCGGGCCUGCAGUCGAUACGGGCAGACUAGAGUUCGGUAGGGGAGACUGGAAUUCCUGGUGUAGCGGUGGAAUGCGCAGAUAUCAGGAAGAACACCCGUGGCUAAGGCGGCUCUCUAGUACGGUACUGACGCUGAGACGCGAAAGCGUGGGGAGCGAACAGG
rnacentral:rRNA from 1 species